GGUACUGCGGGUAUAGGACAGAACUGGUCAAGAGUGUACCACUCGAGAUCAGAAAAGGAAUAAUGCAGGGCGAUACGCUAAGCCCGCUAUUGUUCUGCAUUACAUAAUGCCAAUCUCGGAUUGGCUCAGAACACAUGUGGCACCUACCAAACGGCAACAGCCUCAGGUAGAGGAGCCAUGGGACCAAUGAGGCUCGGACAUAUAUUUUACAUGGACGACCUCAAGGUAUACACAAAGACCUUUGCCGACUUGGUGAAAGCCAAAGAAGGCAUACAGAAAAUUGCAAUCAAAUAGGUUUAAGGAUGAAUCCCACAAAAUGUGCGAUGAAAUCCUUAAACUCGGAAAAUACAGGAAGAGGUGGUAUGGAUGAUAUCCUCCUGGGUGCAAGCUCGCUCUACAAAUACUUGGGAGCUGAGCAGAACCUGUUAACCAGUUUUGAGCAGUUAUGGCAACGCGUAGAAAACAAGCGUUUGCCUCAGCUUCUCGAAUUAUGUCAAGCGACCUUGUCGUAAGACAAAGAUUAAUGGGUACAACCAGGUGGUAGUACCCAAACUAAAAUAUGCAAUGUCGUGCAUCAUCUUUGGAACGGGAUGAUGUGCGUGAUGCGGAAAGAGCGAAAGAUGGGCAGCGGUAGAGCGUACAGGUUGCGACCCGAAAGAUGGUGAACUAUGCCUGAGCAGGACGAAGUCAGAGGAAACUCUGGUGGAAGUCCGUAUCGGUUCUGACGUGCAAAUCGAUCGAUAGACUUGGGUAUAGGGGCGAAAGACUAAUCGAACCAUCUAGUAGCUGGUUCCUCCGAAGUUUCCAGGAUAGCUGGAGUUCAUUGCGGUUAUAUCCGGUAAAGCGAAUGAUUAGAGGACUUGGGGUCGAAACGACCUCAACCUAUUCUCAAACUUUCAAUGGGUAUGUUGUCUCGGUUUCUUUGUUGAACUGUUGACACGAACGCGAACUCCAAGUGGGCCAUUUUUGGUAAGCAGAACUGGCGCUGUGGGAUGAACCAAACGUUGGGUUAAGGUGCCUAACUUUUCGCUCAUGAGACCCCAUAAAAGGCGUUGGUUGAUAUAGACAGCAGGACGGUGGCCAUGGAAGUCGGUACCCGCUAAGGAGUGUAACAACUCACCUGCCGAAUCAACUAGCCCUGAAAAUGGAUGGCGCUUGAGCGAGAGACCUAUACCCAACCGUUGCUGGCUUGUGCGUGCCUGUCGCCUGGCUGCAACGAGUAGGAGGGUCGUGGCGGUUGCGUCGAAGGUUUUGGGCGUAGGCCCAACUGGAGCUUCCGUCAGUGCAGAUCUCGGUGGUAGUAGCAAAUAUUUAAGUUCGAUCCUUGAAGACUGAAGUGGAGAAGGGUUCCACGUGAACAGUAGUUGAAUGUGGGUCAGUCGAUCCUAAGAUACUGGCUUAUGCCUUGUAUCAUCGAGAGGAAAAGUCUCUUUCUCUCGGAUAUCAAAAGGGAAUAGGGUUAAUAUUCCCUAACGCAGACACAGAGAUUGUGGCUCUUACGAGUCACUUGCGCGGUAACGCAUUCGAACUUGGUUACGUCGCUCAGAGACCGAGCUAGAGUCUCUCUAGUUAAGGAACGGACUCCUGGAAUCGGUUCAGCCGUAGAUAGGGACGUUGUUUCCGUAAAGCAUCGCGGUUUCUGUGAUGUCUCGUGUUCUCUGGACGGCCCUUGAAAACCAAGGGAGGCUAUUAAUCUGUGCUGCAUCGUACCGAUAUCCGCAUCAGGUCUCCAAGGUGAACAGCCUCUAGUCGAUAGAAUAAUGUAGGUAAGGGAAGUCGGCAAAUUAGAUCCGUAACUUCGGGAAAAGGAUUGGCUCCAGUGACCGGGUCGGUUGGCUUGUUAACUGAUGCUUGUGCGGUUUCGUCCGUGGCUGGCUGAUACUAACGUUGAUGCUGGACUAGUGACAUGACUGCCUUGUGGACGUUUUCAGGUGUGUGCUUUGUCUUCGGACUUAGUAUCCUGAUCGACCAUCAAAACGGUCGAACUGGAACUGGUACGGACUCGGGAAUCCGACUGUCUAAUUAAAACAGAGGAGACAGAUGGUCCUUGCGGACGUUUACUGUCUCUGAUUUCUGCCCAGUGCUCUGAAUGUUAAAUCGUAGUAAUUCGAGUAAGCGCGGGUAAACGGCGGAGU
rnacentral:rRNA from 1 species